UAGAGUUUGUUUCCUGGCUCAGGACGAACGCUGGCGGCGUGCCUAAUACAUGCAAGUCGAGCGGACGGAUGGGAGCUUGCUCCCUGAAGUCAGCGGCGGACGGGUGAGUAACACGUGGGCAACCUGCCUGUAAGACUGGGAUAACUUCGGGAAACCGGAGCUAAUACCGGAUAAUGCACAACCUCUCAUGAGGCUAUGCUGAAAGAUGGUUUCGGCUAUCACUUACAGAUGGGCCCGCGGCGCAUUAGCUAGUUGGUGAGGUAACGGCUCACCAAGGCAACGAUGCGUAGCCGACCUGAGAGGGUGAUCGGCCACACUGGGACUGAGACACGGCCCAGACUCCUACGGGAGGCAGCAGUAGGGAAUCUUCCGCAAUGGAGCGAAAGUCUGACGGAGCAACGCCGCGUGAUGUGAUGAAGGUUUUCGGAUCGUAAAAGCUCUGUUGUCAGGGAAGAACAAGUGCCGGAGUAACUGCCGGCGCCUGACGUC
rnacentral:rRNA from 1 species